rnacentral:lncRNA from 1 species
CUGGGGAGGAGGUGGUCUGGCCGGGGGAUGUCGGGUCGCGGCGGAUAGCUGCGGUACAGCUCUGUGUGUCCCUGCAGAAGUUUCUUCAGUCAGUAAUGGAUUAACAGAGGUUGAUUUCAACAAAAAGUAGUCGAAUACUCACUGGUUUGGGCGGAUUUCGCGCGGAAAACAACGUUGGCACAUACGGCACGGCGUCCACGUCCAGCAACACCUGCUGGACUCGCUGGAGUGCGGCUUCGUCUGAUAAUUCCUCUGCGCACAUGCGAGAAGGAUCAGCAGGGCCUGUGUACUCGAAUCCAAGUCGGUGGCGUUGUUGGAUUGGCUGGACGCGGCGUUUGAAAAAGGAGAACAUGACGGAAGCACCGGUCACUCCCUUUCUCUUCUGUGCCUCUAUGAUGUCCAGCAAUUCCUUGACUUGAUCCAUGUCCCCACUGGAAGGUUCAAGAUUCCAUUCCGGCCUCACUACAGGUGGUCUGUUUGAUUUCGCCGGGAGUUGGGGAGCAUGGUUCUCGAUAUAAAACCAGUGAUUUUUCCACCUAGGAAGGUUGGAGGGGAAUUUGUAUGAUAGAUAUUUGUCGCUGGCCUGCUGACGCAGUUGGAUGCCGGCGCCCCCUGCAACAGAAAGGAUUUUUGAUGUGGGCUGUGGUUUGAUACGGAAGAGGAAGCGGAAAAGAUCCCAGUGGGGUUCGAUUCCGAGGAAAGCUUCGCAGAAAUAGAUCAAAAUCGAAAUGUGGCAGAUGAAAUUCGGGUUGAGGUGAUGGAGCUCAAGCCCGUAGUAAUACAAAAGGCCGCGGAAGAAAGAACAAGAGGGGAGGGCUAAUCUUCGUUCGGCAAAAUGGAGAAACGUGACGAUUUCGUCAACAUUUUCCAUGGGGAAAGGUUCACGGUAAGAAGGGCGCCAGUUGACAAGGUUCUUCUCUUGCAGCAAUCCCUCAGAAACUAGCUUGUUUAGAUCGUUGAGGGAGCACUUACUGUGUGUCCACUCUGCGGUUGACGGCUGCGCUUCCUUUUUCUUCCCUUCGAUCUCUGACUUCUUGGGCGCCAUCUCCGAUUCGCUUGCCACGAGAUGCUCGGGGGCUGCGGGGAGAGGGGCGGGGAGAUCGGAGCGGGAGGAUUUCUUUGGGGGCAUGGCGGCGGCGCUUGGCUCUGAUUGGGGAUUUUGGUGGUUCUUGGCAAAAUGCAGAUUGAAAGCACAGUUUUUUCCCACUGUUGUCGUGGGGUUAAAUAACCAGCGGGGUGGGGAAAAGUUACUGUUCCGAAGUUCAAGAGUCGUUUUUUGGGAAUAUUUCGAAGAUGAGAGGUCAUUUGGUGGAUUAUUUGGAUUAAAUAUUCGAUUAAUCAUUUUUUCAGAGCUAAUUAGCCCAAAAAAAGGGGUCUUUCGAAUUCAUGAUCUAAUUUCCAUCAUUUAUAUCAUCACUUUGGUAAUUUCUCAAGUUGUUAUUUUUUAACCUGUAUGCCACGGUUUUCGGAUCCUUGUCUCCAAUUUUGUGGGAUUUGGAUUCAAGGCUCGGGGGCUGCGGGAUACAUGGUAUCGACUACUUAUUUUUCAAAUUUCUUUGAAGGAUAAGCAGGAUUACAGACUAAUGGGACCCUCAGCCUGAUUCUCCGAUUCAACCUAAGGCUCGGGGGCUACUCCAUAUGGAGUGCGAUUUUUUCAAAUCGCACGCCAUGUUAAAAAUAAAAUUUGGGGCAUGAGCACCUCAUAGCUUCGAUGCAGCCAAGCAAGUACUCGAAGAAGGACUUCAAGACGAAGCUUCAGAAGAAGUCGAAGAUUGCUUCGAAAGUACUCGAUAAGCCUGCAGUGCUCAACUACAAAGAGCUCGGGGGCUUGUCAGACCCGGGGCCACGGGACUGGGUACAUAACGUAGUUUAAAGAGGUUUAAAAGAUUAAGACCGUCUUAUCUCUUAUUUAUCUCGUUUAUCUCUUAUUUAUCCCAUUUAAGUAGGAGAUAGAGCUAACCGAUAUAGAAGGAAUCUACCCGAGACAUGUUCUGGUACGAUUCCUUAGCUGGUGUUGGUUAGUAUCUUUGUAACCCUGACCUCCCGGAUAUAUAAGGGAGGGUAGGAACCCCUCUCAAAACACGAUCUCUAGAUCAUUCUACAUAAAAGGCAAUACAAAUCACCAUACAGGACGUAGGGUGUUACGCAUCUUGCGGCCCGAACCUGUCUAAGCUUUGUGUUCCUUGCACUUUUGAGUUCCUGAUCUCGGCGUCUCCUCACCCGAAACUUACCACCUUGGGUAUAUCCCUCGGUGGGCAGCCGGUUAAACACCGACAUUACUGGAAGUUUUAAUUGAUUAUUGAUGUUGCAAUAGUUGUUUUAAGAUUGUUCGAUAGGUCAAUAUGAGAUUAUUGCAGUAGUAAUUUUAAGUAUGUUUGAGAUGUGAGGUGAUGUUGCAACAACUAUUUUAGAAUGUUGCAUAAAAUUAUUCUAAAGAUUUCAAUAAUUUAUUUUCCAUGUUACACUGUUUUAAUCUAAUGGACUAAUUCUAUUUGUUUUAUUAUUUUUUUGAAAAAAAAUAAUUUUUUGGAAUGUUGCAAUGAUAGUUUAAAAAUAUCGCAAUUAUAAUUUCUAAAUGUUGUAAAAGUUAAGCGUCUUAUAGAACUCUAUUUCUACGCAUUGUCAUUCUUAUCGGAUGUUGCAUGAACAUAGUGUCAUGUUGCGGUGCGAAUUUUCUACUAUAGAAUCGGAUGACAAAGUUAUUUUUAUAUAAAUUUUUGUAAUGUUGCAAGUACUGAUUUUAAAUGUUGUAGUAGUUAAUUUUUAAUGUUGCAACAAAGUGUCCGAUAAAAUUUUUUUCAUUGGACGUCCGAGCGAUAGCAGCUCUGUAGAUGAAAAGAAGGGUUGGGAACACAUAUCAUUCUUACAAAUAUUGGGAUGGGACCUUCACAAUCAUCUCAUCUUAUAUGAGGUGAUCCAUCAUGGGUUCAUCCUAUGAAUUUUGAUAGGUGCUUGUACCAAAUACGUUUAUGAGGUAUGAGGUGGUGAUGGAUCAUCUCAUUCCAUUCCUUAAAUCAAACAAAACAUCUCCUUAGAUUACGAAUUUUCCAUUAUCCUACCGAGGACUCUUCACAAAAUGGAGCAUGUCAUAUUUUUAAUGACUGUGACAGCACUAAACCAAAUUGUAAUGUUAUUGCAAAAAGAUAUUACAACUAACUUCAUAGUUAAAAUUAUUCAUACCGUGUUGGUUUGGUAGCUAAUAUGGAAUUUUGCAAGAAAACAAGAUUCGAACAUAAUUUUAAAGAACAGCCCAAAUUUUUUAAGCAAAGAAUUGCCUUGUGCUUUUUUUAUGAGGGAAGGAAAGUAAAAAAGGUUCAACUGAACUCACAGAAUGACCAGUUUACUGUUGUUCCGGCAAAUAACCAGGUCAAAACAGACUCGUUCAAAUGUGAUACAACCCGUAAAUGGCCUGGAGAAGCUGAAGCCACGGAAGCACCAACAAUGUGUCCUUGAGAUGUGCUGCCAACUCUUAGAAGGGAGUCACGCCAAAGAAGUGCCAACGGAAUUCUAGGGAGCCGAAGAAGCUAACUAUUAUUAUUUUUGUCGGUUUUCAAGACCGAUGAAAUAAACUGUAUCUUUUUUGACGGCUGCUCUGGCCGACGAAAAUAUGGUGUAUAUUUUCGUCAGCUUCGUUGGCCGACGAAAAGUGUUGUAUUUUCAUCGGUUGCUGACGAAAAUGCGUUCAUUUCGUUGAUUUUAUUCCAUCUACCGAUGAAAAUAUAUAUUUUCGACGGCUUUCUAUGUAUUUUCGACGGUUUCUGGCCGACGAAAUUAAACUAUUUUUUUACAGUGUUCUCAUGAACAGACCUGAAGGUGCAGGUGGCAAUGUCACGACCAGCAGCUAGCGAAACAGAAAGUGGUGCCAGGCCGCCAGCCGGAGGCGUACCGAGUCAAGGUCAGACACUGAAGCCAGAACCUUGUGCUUCAGUAUGGCCUUCUGGUCCAUGAAGCAGUAUCGCCUUUUACUGUGUGCAAGAACGUCCAUCCGGACGGCAGCCAUUUGGUUUAUUGGCCAUUUUGCUCAAGUCAAAACAAAGCAAGAAGGACGCAUUUGUAGGACACAGCUCGAGGGGGAAACUUUGAUGUUUAGUUAACGUACUGACGGCACGUACUUUACACACAUACAUCGUGGAUACAUGACGAUUGCAGCGACGAACACACACUAUUUGUGUUUACAAACAAAAGGGGACACGUGAUUUGGACCUUCGUAGGAGAAAAUGCACAUGUUUCUUGGUACAUUUCCAACUUUAACUCAAGUGCUCGCCGCGCCCUCCACCGCUUAUGACUAAUGGUGGCAUCACUAUUCUUCAAUUCCUCUAAAUUUGAAGCUUAGGUGAAUCCACGUGUUAACAUGUUGUCCCACUCAAUGCUGGAAUCGGUAUAAUGAACAUGGGAAGGGCCAAGCAAUUAACUAAGCUCUACAAUACUUUGAUUUUAAUUUCAUUUGACUGAAGAGUAAGAUGGUAUAAGCUCCAGUAAAAUGUGUUAAGACUUAUAUGGUGCUAAUGCAAAAGGUUGAACAAAAGGGCCAUGGCCCUCGCUAGCUCCACAGUGAGAUACCAUUGUGGAAAAAAAAAGACGUAACUGGAGUAGCAAAUCUCAAAAAGGAAAUUUUAAUUCAAGUUUUGCUAAUCCAACAAAGAUUUUGCAAAAACUUGUAGAUUGUUAGAUCUUAAUAAUAGUGUUAUUAGUAUACCUAGAAGCUAUCACUAAUAGCUCUAUUUGUAUUCACAUAAUUAAAGAGAUACCAUUUUGCGGCUGGUUUGGAUAUUUAUUAAGAAUGUGUUUAUGUAGCUUGACAUAUAGGUGAGUGGAAAUAAUAUGUCCUGAAACCAUAUUAGUCAUCCUCUUGAUCGAUCAAUAACCAAAGGCUUACCUCGAAUAAUGAAGAGCAUGUUCUUCUCAAUAUGGACAAAAUUGUUAGAAUAGUCAACUUAAAUUCGAUACCCGUAAUCAGGUAUGUUUAGUUAUGUGCCCACAAUUUCGCAAUGCUAGUUCCUCCUCUUGUAGCAACACAAAUAAUUUCUUUAAAUAGUGCAUGAUCUUUGUGUGAGGGUUAGUUUGUUGUUGCUACAUAAUGUUUUUAGACAUCAAGUAAAUUUUUGGCUGUUUUAAAUUUGUGUUUCUAGUAAUUAGUUGCUCCAUAUAAUCUGGAAAAAAAAAGAAAUAAAUGAAUUUAAAAGAUCCAUCGCAACAAUAGCUGGAGGGAGAAAAUGACUUUUAAUAUUCAUCCUAGUUUCUGUCUAGGUGAUAAACGUAUGGACUAUGGAAGUCAAAACAAUAAAGGGGUUUUAGUCGUUGCUUCAAAAAAUAAAGGGUUUUUAGCCUGUUUUCACAAUGUACUAUUAUUGGAUCCCUGUUCAAUCCAUUUAUAGAGCUAUUACAUCACCACAGAAUCUAUAGGAGUAUGUUACAUAAGCUAUUACUAAUAAUUUGGUAAGGCUAUGACGCCUUAAAGAUAUAUCUAUAGUUACUUGCUCCAUCUGAAAUAAGUGGGUCGAACAGUUCACCCUAAUGUCAAUCAAAGUCAAAAUAUCCUAGCGGUGGUGCUUACCUUUUUACUUGCCCUUUUACUGUUACUGUGUACAUUGGUGCUAACAUUGCAUAAUUUUUGGUAACCAUUGCUAGGUGCCAGCGAAUUGAGUGUAGCUUGUUUAUGGUGGAAUCUGCCCAUCCGAUUUCGAGUCCUCAACUCGGCAUGGGUGCUCGCAUUUUUCUAGAUGCGUGCGUGUAUCUAUAUGGUGAGUGUGUGUGCAUGUUUGUGAGUAUAUGCGUCAGUGCUUUUUUUGGAAAAAGUGAGCAACUUACUAAGUGUUAAGCUAGCUAGAGCCCUUUACGUCGUUGUUUUUGAAACUCAAUGUAAUUAUCCAUUAAUUGACCACUUUUAAAGUGAGAUCAUGAAUCUCCUAGCAAGUAUUUACACAAUUUCAGAGGGAUCUAACGAAUGGAUUGGUUUCGGGUCCCAGGAUAUAUUGCAACCCUGAUGUUGUUUUACCACACCCUGUUACCAACUGAUCAAAUGUGAUCACAUUGCUCUCACCAGUGUGUACUACUCCGAAGUCCGAAGUAAUAUCUAAUUGCAUAAUUGAUUGCGUACCAGUUUCAGGGUGAAAGAUAUUCAGACAGCAUUAGGCCUCGUUCGGAAUGGCCUGUUCCGGAGCUCAUUUCAUGUGGAUCGGAGUGGCCCAUUUUAAAAACGGGUACACGAUGGAAUCACCGUUUGGUUUAGGCUGGCCCGAAAAAUAAACAGACCAUGAAUCAACAUUCCACUCCCUCCACGGCGCGGAAGGAAGCCUGCUCAACUACCCUUCGGAUCGAAGUAUGGGGACGCGAGGCCGAGCCCGAGCUGGCGGCGCAGGAGGCGGCGGCUCGUCGCGAGGGGAGGCGACGGUGCAGCACGAGGCGACGGCGACUGCUCCCAUCCAUCGUCCAUGCUCUCCGCCGCCUUCUCGACGGUAACGCAUCGCUCUUAUCUUCCUUGCCCUCUUUUCUCCCUGGUGCUAGGGUUCUCGCCGGCGCUAGGAUUCUUUGCCGCAGCUCGGUGGUGGCGGCGAGCGCCGAACUGCCGAAGUAGGCUGCACGGAGUAGCAUGUUCGUCUUGGUCACAGCGAGGGUCCUCCGUCCAAGGCAGUGCGGCGGCGAGUUCAAGUGCGGCCACGUACGGCUGCUCGUGGCUCUGUCGCUCGUCUCGCUCUCUCUGUCUCUCGACUUCUCGGGUCUCUACAGGAUCUACUGUUGCACACUACACCAAAACAGCGCAAUUGUUAGGCAGCAUACGUAGGAUCUACUUGCAUUGUUCAGAGAAAUCAAAAUUUGUUGUGCUAUACAUCUGAACAAUCUGCAUAUUGAUCUGACCAAUCCACUCUGAACAAUGCCAGAGUAGCUCAACCAAGUUGAGGUACCCGGCGUGCGCGGACUCUGAACAACGUCAUCAUCUAGGCAGUACAACGCCAUGUGGAACCGUUUUAAGGAGUACUAGAUCAUUGUAGAGAAAGCUCACUCGCCAGGGAAUAUGCAAACUAAUGUUUGAUUCAUUCUGAAAGUGGAGAGCUGCACAAUUAUGCCAGCUUCAGUUGCCUCUGUUCUUGCUACAAAGUAUCCUAUGUUAGCUGUUGAAAUAUCCAGUCACUUUCACUAGUUGAGGUGCUGAGACCCCUGCAACCUCCUUUUACUUUGAUCCUUUACCAGGCUCUUGCUGUAUGUAUUAUUUACCGCAGAUCUUUUACUUCGCAUCGCUUUACUUUCAUAAGACAGAUAUCUUUGAUCUACACAGUGUCACAAUGUGCUACUAGGACAGUGUGUCUCCACAAUCAGUGCUUAUUAGUGUUCUAUCUGGUAAAGUGUCCCUUUUACGGUCAGUUGGUCAGGCCUAUAUCUUGGGAGGACAAUAUCUGAGUUCUUUUGUUUGGAAAAAAGUAUCUGGGUUCUGCACUGCCUGUUUGGAAAAGCUGCAGUAUUUACGAAAAAAACUACUUGGUUCCUUUUCCUGCAUCAUAUACCAUCAUUUAUCUUGUAGUAUAAACAUGGUAUGGCAUAUUGUUUUUAUUCUACACUCGUUGUCUGGUUGGUGAACACUUAUUUAUCUUGUAGUAUAACCAUUGUUCCAAUAGUUGUUAAAGGCAUUCUUAUGCAAGUUCAUUUUUCUUUGUCGGUUUCUGCUUUCUAUUUUGUAAAUCGUGUCAAACAUGUGCAUGGAGCAGCCUCCCAAGUGUUAACAUUAGGGAAUAUAGCAAAGAAUGCCUGAAGAGAUUUUGAUAGUGCUGUAACUAUUCGCAUUUGCAUUACAAUACAAGGUCAUUUCCUAUUUCCAGUGAGCCUAUCUCAAUCUGGUUAGGUUGAUCUUAUCAAGCAAACCAGAACAUAUGCAGAGUGAAUAUUUGCUAGUUCAUUUUCUUCUAUGACUUGCGAUAGGUUGCAAGUGUUCCGAUCUGUUUGCCCAAUUGUAUGCAGGUUGUUCCAACUGAGUAUAGAUAUCUCUCGAAGAAAGUAGUGCCAACAAAUCAGUUUUCUGUCAUGGAGUAUUUUCUUCCCAUGCGCCCAACUGACAGGGCCUGGCCAGGUAGUUGUUUGUUUUGCCCUUCAAGCAAGGUGUGUAUGUUCAUCUCUUUUCAAUGCUAAGCUCUUUUUGUUUGUCCUGCAGCUGUUUACUUCCUUUAUGAUCUCUCACCAAUUACAGUCACAAAGAGGAAAGACGGAACUUCCUUCAUUUCCUAACUCCUCUAUAUGCGGUUCUUGGAGGCACAUUUGCCAUGACAGGUUAUAACCUGCACCCUAUGGUUUUAUGUUUUCUAUUAUUUGUGUCAUGCAAUUUGUUUUGGUAUUAACUGAUAACAUUAGUUGCAUGCAAGGUCUUACUGAGAACACAACUUGGAAAAGAAAAAAAAUAGUUCAUUGUUAUUACGAUUCAUUGCUUGUUACAAUACUUUUCCUGACUUUUGUUAUACAGGAAUGCUUGACUGAUGAAUGUACCGGCUUAUCGAGUCUGUCACCAACUCAAAGACCAGAAGCGUGUUGCGGUAAUCGCGAAUUUCACGGUGGACGAAUGGAAACCAUGGAUACCUGCGGCUAGUCAAGCCAGUUAUAGAUCAUCUUGUCCCAGCUAACUGAUCAAGCCAUGUUGGUUUACAUGUUCUAUUUGCUCCAUGCAUGGUUAACUUAUAAAACUUACAAUCAGUUAGUGCUAUUUAAGUUUGGGUUCCUCUCUAUUCUUGGUGCAGCUCAAGAACACAUCUGACAAGGAGGAGAAGAGGUUUCAAGGUCUAAGUUAUACCUUAUCCAUGUCACCUAUAUAGUGGAGUAAAUGGAGCUUGUUUCGGCUGAGGAGUUCUAUGUUACUACGUUUGCAAUUUUGGAUCAAUGAUCAUAUUGUCACAUCUCUGAAACCUAGUUCUGUGUUGCCAGAACGUGCUCUUUCUAUCUUUCUAUCUUAUAUGGCAGUCAAAGGUUUUCAUCCUAUCAACUAAUGCUUGAAUCAUUUGUUAACUAGUGCUUUGAUAGUGCUUGCUCCAGGCUUAAAUAGUGCUUGGUCUAGAAUGUGCUCGUGUGUAUUAUAUAUUUUGUGUUGGCUCCAGAAUGUGCUACAGAAUGUGAAAGUGUGUAUUUUAUAGUGCUUGCUGCAAGAACCCGGCCGGAAUGGAUCCUUGAGUUCCAAUAAGAG